rnacentral:rRNA from 1 species
UACAGAGGGUGCGAGCGUUAAUCGGAAUUACUGGGCGUAAAGCGUGCGUAGACGGUAGCGUAAGUCAGAUGUGAAAGCCCCGGGCUCAACCUGGGAAUUGCAUUUGAGACUGCUCUGCUCGGGUGCGGAAGAGGGAAGCGGAAUUUCCGGUGUAGCGGUGAAAUGCGUAGAUAUCGGAAGGAACACCGGUGGCGAAGGCGGCUUCCUGGUCUGCAACUGACGCUGUGGCGCGAAAGCUAGGGGAGCAAACGGG